CAGUCGCCGCGGGAAUACAGAGGAUGCAAGCGUUAUCCGGAAUGAUUGGGCGUAAAGCGUCUGUAGGUGGCUUUUCAAGUCCGCCGUCAAAUCCCAGGGCUCAACCCUGGACAGGCGGUGGAAACUACCAAGCUAGAGUACGGUAGGGGCAGAGGGAAUUUCCGGUGGAGCGGUGAAAUGCGUUGAGAUCGAAAAGAACACCAACGACGAAAGCACUCUGCUGGGUCGACACUGACACUGAGAGACGAAGGCUAGGGGAGCAAAUGGGAUUAGAUACCCGCGUAGUCCCUGUCUCUUAUAC
rnacentral:rRNA from 1 species